GCCACCGCGGUUACACGAAGGGCCUCAAAUAACCUCAUACGGCGUAAAACGUGACUAGAAGCCAAUUUUAAAUGCGGGACUCACAACCCAGAUAAAGCCGUAAAACGCACACAUCAAAAGGAAUCUCUCCACGCCCCCAUUAACAAAUCACCUUUGACUACACGAAAUCUGUGACACAAACUAGGAUUAGAUACCCUAUUAUGCCCAGACAUAAACACAGGCAGCAAGCUUAACCCACCAUGCCCGCCAGAGAACUACACGCACCCUAGCGUAAAACUCAAAGGACUUGACGGUGUCUCAUACCGCCCUAGAGGAGCCUGUCCUAUAAUCGAUACUCCCCGCUACACCUCACCCCCCAUUGCAAAGCUUCAACCUAUAUACCGCCGUCGCCAGCUCACCUUACAAAAGCCAAACAGUGUGCAAAAUAGUUCCCCACUAAAAAGUCAGGUCAAGGUGUAGUUAAUUGGGGGGACAGCGAUGGGCUACAUUUUCUAGCAAAGAAGCCCCCAGCAAUAUGAAAUAAUGCCAUAAGACGGAUUUAGCAGUAAAUAGAGCAAGAGCCGCUCAAUUGAAGCUCGCCCUGAGACGCGUACACACCGCCCGUCACCCUCCUCAGAAACCAAAAAUCAAAAUAACUAAGCCCCUCCCCCAAAUCUACCAGAUGAGGCAAGUCGUAACAUGGUAAGUGUACUGGAAAGUGCACUUGGCAAAAC
rnacentral:rRNA from 1 species